UUUGGAAAACAUGAAAAUUGAAAGGGUGGAAUUUCAUAUCUCCUCUUUGACUAUCUUGGUGACAUUGUUUUUUCCAGGUGAAUAAUGCAGCUAUUGGGGGAAUAGCAUCGAAUACUCAGCUACUGGAUUCCUCCAAGCAAGCGCCAGUUAGCUCAUCAGGCCUGGCAAAUGCAAUUGUAGAGACUUAUGAAUUAGCCGAAGAUUGCAUCAACACAAACUAUUAUGGUC